GAUGAACGCUGGCGGCGUGCCUAAUACAUGCCAGUCGAGCGAACAGAUGAGGAGCUUGCUCCUCUGACGUUAGCGGCGGACGGGUGAGUAACACGUGGAUAACCUACCUAUAAGACUGGGAUAACUUCGGGAAACCGGAGCUAAUACCGGAUAAUAUAUUGAACCGCAUGGUUCAAUAGUGAAAGACGGUUUUGCUGUCACUUAUAGAUGGAUCCGCGCCGCAUUAGCUAGUUGGUAAGGUAACGGCUUACCAAGGCGACGAUGCGUAGCCGACCUGAGAGGGUGAUCGGCCACACUGGAACUGAGACACGGUCCAGACUCCUACGGGAGGCAGCAGUAGGGAAUCUUCCGCAAUGGGCGAAAGCCUGACGGAGCAACGCCGCGUGGGUGAUGAAGGUCUUCGGAUCGUAAAACUCUGUUAUUAGGGAAGAACAAAUGUGUAAGUAACUAUGCACGUCUUGACGGUACCUAAUCAGAAAGCCACGGCUAACUACGUG
rnacentral:rRNA from 1 species